AUUUUCCCUAUGAAUUUCCUGGGCGGGUCUGAGCUGGAUAAUCUAGCAAGCUCCUUCAAUGUUCCUUCUCUUCAUACAAGAAAUUCACUCGGGUUUCUUCCUCAUGUGAACAGGAAGUUGCUCUGAAGGGCUGGCUGAGAGGAAGAGCAUCUGCAACCCACAGGGUAAGGUCUGAUUUAAAUUUAAUUCUGUGUCUGUCUCCUAGACAGCCCACCGCAAGACUUACUCAGCCUAAUAUUCAGUCAAUAGAGAUGAUGAUUGCAAAGUCAGAAGGCCUCCUUGGCAGCAUCCUAGAGACUCUUACUUCCUAAAGCUGGAAGGCAAAAAAAAAAAAAAAAAAAAACUCUGAGGAUCAGUUCUAGGUCUUAAUGACAGGUUAGUAGACUCCAGGGAAACUGAAAUCCUCAACUCUGGCAAGUCUGCUUUGCCAGAAGAAGGACGCUAGUUGAAAAAUAAUGGUACCCUGAGACUUGGAAAUAGGACCUUUGGGUCAAUGUACUCAAAAACCUUGAAACACCAGAUUCAUUUGACCUUUCUAGAUGAGCAGAACUAUCCUACUCCUCCAUAUUAAAGGCUAACACUUCUCCUUGCAUGAAGAUGACACAGCAGCCACUAUCUUGAAAAACAAUACUUUCAAAGAUCAGAAUUUACUCCCACCUCCCCUUCUGGCCACCUGGCCAAUAACUAGGCUUAUUCACAACAUAAUAUAUAAUGGUGGGGAAAACCAAAGUCCAC
rnacentral:lncRNA from 10 species